rnacentral:rRNA from 1 species
UUACACAUGCAAGUCGAGCGCGAAAGGCCGUUCGAGGGUACUCGAGCGGCGAACGGGUGAGUAACACGUGAGUAACCUGCCCCGUGUACUCUGGGAUAAGCCUGGGAAACCGGGUCUAAUACCGGAUACGACCAUUUCUCGCAUGUGAUGGUGGUGGAAAGUUUUUUCGGUUGGGGAUGGACUCGCGGCCUAUCAGCUUGUUGGUGGGGUGAUGGCCUACCAAGGCGACGACGGGUAGCCGGCCUGAGAGGGCGACCGGCCACACUGGGACUGAGACACGGCCCAGACUCCUACGGGAGGCAGCAGUGGGGAAUAUUGCGCAAUGGGCGGAAGCCUGACGCACCGACCCCGCGUGGGGGAUGACGGCCUUCGGUUGUAAACCUCUUUCAGCAGGGACGAAGUUGACGUGUACCUGUAGAAGAAGCGCCGGCUAACUACGUGCCAGCAGCCGCGGUAAUACGUAGGGCGCAAGCGUUGUCCGGAAUUAUUGGGCGUAAAGAGCUCGUAGGUGGCUUGUCGCGUCUGCCGUGAAAGCCCGUGGCUUAACUACGGGUCUGCGGUGGAUACGGCAGGCUAGAGGCUGGUAGGGGCAAGCGGAAUUCCUGGUGUAGCGGUGAAAUGCGCAGAUAUUCAGGAGGAAUCACCGGUGGCGAAGGCGGCUUAGCUGGGUCCAGUUCUGAGCGCUGAGGA